AACGAACGCUGGCGGCAUGCCUAACACAUGCAAGUCGAACGAGACCUUCGGGUCUAGUGGCGCACGGGUGCGUAACGCGUGGGAACCUGCCCUUAGGUUCGGAAUAACUCCCCGAAAGGGGUGCUAAUACCGGCUAUUGUCUUCGGACCAAAGAUUUAUCGCCUUUGGAUGGGCUCGCGUCGGAUUAGCUAGUUGGUAGGGUAAAAGCCUACCAAGGCGACGAUCCAUAGCUGGUCUGAGAGGCUGAUCAGCCACACUGGAACUGAGACACGGCCCAGACUCUUACGGGAGGCAGCAGUGGGGAAUAUUGGACAAUGGGCGGAGGCCUGAUCCAGCAAUGCCGCGAGAGUGAUGAAGGCCUUAGGGUUGUAAAGCUCUUUUACCCGUGAUGAUAAUGACAGUACCGGGAGAAUAAGCUCCGGCUAACUCCGUG
rnacentral:rRNA from 1 species